GACGAACGCUGGCGGCGUGCUUAACACAUGCAAGUCGAACGAAGUGGCGAACGGGUGAGUAACGCGUAAUCAACCUGCCCUUCAGAGGGGGACAACAGUUGGAAACGACUGCUAAUACCGCAUACUGAAGGAGGGGAUUGCGUCUGAUUAGCUAGUUGGAGGGGUAACGGCCCACCAAGGCGAUGAUCAGUAGCCGGUCGUAGAGGAUGAACGGCCACAUUGGGACUGAGACACGGCCCUUACUCCUACGGGAGGCAGCAGUGGGGAAUAUUGGACAAUGGACGAAAGUCUGACGGAGCAACGCCGCGUGAGUGAUGACGGCCUUCGGGUUGUAAAGCUCUGUUAAUCGGGACGCGGUACCGGAAUAGAAAGCCACUGCUAACUACGUGCCAGCAGCCGCGGUAAUUC
rnacentral:rRNA from 1 species